rnacentral:lncRNA from 1 species
AUUACUCCUUGUUGAGCUAAUUAUAUUGGGCUUAUUUGUUAAUUGGACUUUGCUAUUUAGGCUAUAUAAUUUGGUAAAGUUAAAAUCUCAUCUUUUUGUAUUUUUUUAUUAUUUAUGUGGGCCUCCUGUUUGUAAGCCUUUGGAUCAUAAUUCUUUUGAUCCAAAGGCCCAUAUUGAUAGCUUCUUUUCUUAGGGGCUAAAGUGGGAUAUUAGAAUAUAAGCCUCUG